rnacentral:rRNA from 1 species
CGGUUGAUCCUGCCGGAGGUUACUGCUAUCGGAGUUCGAUUAAGCCAUGCGAGUCUAAAGGUUUCUUCGGAAACCUUGGCGGACUGCUCAGUAACACGUGGAUAACCUACCCUUGGGACUGGGAUAACCCCGGGAAACUGGGGAUAAUACCGGAUAGAUCAGGGAUGCUGGAAUGCGCCUUGAUCCAAAGCUCCGGCGCCCAAGGAUGGGUCUGCGGCCUAUCAGGUUGUAGUGGGUGUAACGUACCUACUAGCCGACGACGGGUACGGGUUGUGAGAGCAAGAGCCCGGAGAUGGAUUCUGAGACACGAAUCCAGGCCCUACGGGGUGCAGCAGGCGCGAAACCUUUACAAUGUGCGAAAGCAUGAUAAGGGAACUCCGAGUGCCAGUAUCUAAUACUGGCUGUCCUUGUGCCUAAACCGCACAAGAUAGCAAGGGCCGGGUAAGACCGGUGCCAGCCGCCGCGGUAACACCGGCGGCCCGAGUGGUAGCCGCUAUUAUUGGGUCUAAAGGGUCCGUAGCCGGUUCGAUAAGUCCUCUGGGAAAUCUGGUUGCUUAACAAUCAGACUGCCAAGGGAUACUGUCGAACUUGAGACCGGGAGAGGUAAGAGGUACUUCAGGGGUAGGAGUGAAAUCUUGUAAUCCCUGGGGGACCAUCUGUGGCGAAGGCGUCUUACAAGAACGGGUCUGACGGUGAGGGACGAAAGCUGGGGGCGCAAACCGGAUUAGAUACCCGGGUAGUCCCAGCCGUAAACGAUGCUCGCUAUGUGUCAGGUACGGUGUGACCGUAUCUGGUGCCGUAGGGAAGCCGUGAAGCGAGCCACCUGGGAAGUACGGUCGCAAGACUGAAACUUAAAGGAAUUGGCGGGGGAGCAC